rnacentral:rRNA from 1 species
UACAGAGGUCUCAAGCGUUGUUCGGAUUCAUUGGGCGUAAAGGGUGUGUAGGUGGCGCGCUAAGUCGGAUGUGAAAUUUCGGAGCUUAACUCCGAAACUGCAUUCGAUACUGCCGUGCUUGAGGACUGGAGAGGAGACUGGAAUUUACGGUGUAGCGGUGAAAUGCGUAGAUAUCGUAAGGAAGACCAGUGGCGAAGGCGGGUCUCUGGACAGUUCCUGACGCUGAGGCACGAAGGCCAGGGGAGCAAACGGG